rnacentral:lncRNA from 1 species
CGGCGACGAGCAACAAGCGUCUCCGGUUACCCUUCAAAGUUUGCCCAAGUUUCUCGAGCCCCGGGCGCACGCCGAUACGCACGUCCCCUACACCAAGCCGGGCCUCCGCCAGGCCAGCGCCCAGCGUCCCCGCUUGCUCGCUCUGGUCGUCGCCUGGGUGCUGCUCCACCUUCUCUCCUUGAGGCCCCGCGGGCCACCGCUGCCGCCUCCUCUGAUUCUGGAGCCUCCUUCAGUCCUAGGAAGGUCGGCCCCAAGUUUCAAGUCAAAGGGCUCGUUCUUGCUUUGAGUCCGAUCGGUGCUCGGGAGGUAAGAGCUAGACAAGCUCGCUUUGGAAACGUAGUAGCGCGGAAUCCGAAGCCCCUUCACCCGCAGUCGGCCUGCACCCGGCCUCUGCUGCCCCGCACAGUCCCAGCCCGCAACUCCCGGCGUCCGCCACCGCCCGCUAGGGAAGGAGUGCAGAGUAACGCCUGGGAGCUGCACUGGUGGCUAGAAGAAGCGUCGGGCUCGCAGGGCUCUGGGCCGCCCCGCCCCCUCCCCUCCCCCCAUUCACAAACCACUCCGGGGGCGGGCCCGAGCCCUCUGGACGUCCAAUAGAGCGCUUUGUUUUCUCUGUAGACGCCUUCCGAUUGGGUGGAAGUCGGAAGGGGAGGCCGAGGGAACGAGGAAGGCGGUGCCUGAAGCGCUCUGGGCGGAUUCCUGAGGGGAGGG